CACAGAGCAAGAGGGAAUGAGGAGAUGGAGGGCCGGGAUGCAUUCAGUUGGCUCCAGGACAACUGCCCCAACUCAGCUCCCAAGUGCAGACUCGAAUGCUCAUGAGAUGAAAGUUUCUGCUAAUUGAAGGAAUCCAUCAGUUGAAUACCCCAUGAUAUGGAGGCUACUCAUAGGAUCCAGUCUUAAAUGGUCCUUACAAGGCCUUGGUUUUUACUGGACGCCAUUGUUUUCUCCAAGAGCUGAGACCUCUUCCAGAUCAGCGUUUAGACAGCUCCUCGAGACACUGGCAUCAAGAACCCACCUAACAAAAAGGAUAUUUGAACUGCAGUCUUGAAGGAGAACAGUGCAACAGUUUAUAUCAACUAGUCUGAUCUGAUCUCCUUGGAGAAAAGACUUCACAACUUCAUCUAAUGAAAGAAGAAACUGUGAUCAGUCAUGGGAUUGCUGUGAAGAGGAAGUGAAAUAAUGUAGGUGGAAGAAAUACCUAGUACAUUGGAAGGCACAAUGUAGAAAAUAUAAUCUUGUUCAAAAAUGUAUCUUAUUGUGUUUUUUUAAAAAAUAUGUUAUUCAGAGAUAAAGG